rnacentral:rRNA from 1 species
AGAGCGAACGCUGGCGGCAGGCCUAACACAUGCAAGUCGAGCGCCCGUAGCAAUACGGGAGCGGCAGACGGGAUAGUAACACGUGGGAACGCGCCCUUCGGUUCGGAAUAACUCAGGGAAACUUGAGCUAAUACCGAAUACGCCCUUACGGGGAAAGAUUUAUUGCCGAAGGAACGGCCCGCGUCCGAUUAGCUAGUUGGUGAGGUAAUGGCUCACCAAGGCUACGAUCGGUAGCUGGUCUGAGAGGAUGACCAGCAUCACUGGGACUGAGACACGGUCCAGACUCCUACGGGAGGCAGCAGUGGGGAAUCUUGCGCAAUGGGGGAAACCCUGACGCAGCAACGCCGCGUGGAGGAUGAAAUAUCUUGGUAUGUAAACUCCUUUCGAUGGGGAAGAUUAUGACGGUACCCAUAGAAGAAGCCCCGGCUAACUUCGUGCCAGCAGCCGC